GAGGAAGAUGGGGACGACGUCAAGUCAUCAUGCCCCUUACGUCUAGGGCUGCACACAUGCUACAAUGGGCGGUACAGAGGGCUGCUAAACCGCGAGGUGGAGCCAAUCCCUAAAACCGCUCUCAGUUCAGAUUGCAGGCUGCAACUCGCCUGCAUGAAGUUGGAGUUGCUAGUAAUCCCGGAUCAGCAUUGCCGGGGUGAAUACGUUCCCGGGCCUUGUACACACCGCCCGUCAAACCACGAAAGUCGGCAACACCCGAAGCCGGUGGCACUAACCGUAAGGAAGGAGCCGUCGAAGGUGGGGUCGGUGAUUGGGGUUAAGUCGUAACAAGGUAGCCGUAA
rnacentral:rRNA from 1 species